rnacentral:ncRNA from 2 species
AGUUUACGCACAUUCUCAGGUGCUGGUGGCGUAACCGCCAUCAGUUAAACGGGAAGUUGGUGAACAUGGUCAUGUCAUGGCUGUGUCAAUCCAACGCUGCCCCCGCAACGGUGAUCGAGACAAGAACGGCUAGAGACGCCACUGUGCCUUGGCAUGGGAAGGUGGUCGUUCGGAAAAGGGUCGGCGCUUAGGUAAAGUGCCCCUCUUUCGCUCGUCAGCCCGGAGACCGGCCUAAGAGUGAUGGCUUGA